rnacentral:rRNA from 1 species
ACGCACGCUGGCGGCGUGCUUAACCCAUGCCAGUCGCACGGAAAGGCCCUGCUUUUGUGGGGUGCUCGAGUGGCGAACGGGUGAGUAACACGUGAGUAACCUGCCCUUGACUUUGGGAUAACUUCAGGAAACUGGGGCUAAUACCGGAUAGGAGCUCCUGCUGCAUGGUGGGGGUUGGAAAGUUUCGGCGGUUGGGGAUGGACUCGCGGCUUAUCAGCUUGUUGGUGGGGUAGUGGCUUACCAAGGCUUUGACGGGUAGCCGGCCUGAGAGGGUGACCGGCCACAUUGGGACUGAGAUACGGCCCAGACUCCUACGGGAGGCAGCAGUGGGGAAUAUUGCACAAUGGGCGGAAGCCUGAUGCAGCAACGCCGCGUGCGGGAUGACGGCCUUCGGGUUGUAAACCGCUUUCGCCUGUGACGAAGCGUGAGUGACGGUAAUGGGUAAAGAAGCACCGGCUAACUACGUG